rnacentral:lncRNA from 1 species
UUUGCCAGUGUGAUAGCCCAAACUAUUGUCUUAAAUUGUAUUUCUUUUGUUUUUGAGUUUGAUCAUUUUUUCAUAUGUUUAUUAGCCAUCUGUAUUUUUUAUUUUAUGUCCAAUUUUGGGGCUGUGGGGAGGUUUUAGUCCUUUGCUGAUUUCAAAGAGCUCAUUUAUUAUUGGGGGAAUAAGCUUUGGAUUGUCACGCAUUACAGAUAUUUUUAACAUACUUUUAAGCUUCGUUUUUGUUAUAAGAAUGUAUUUGAUUGUUAUAUGUCCAGGUAUAACCAUGUUCACUUCUAUGGCUUCUGAGUUCAUGUCAUUUUGGAAAGAUAUUUAUACUGAUCUCAUAGAACUCUUCAUCUAUGUUAACUUCUAAUUCUUUUGUGUUUUUUUAAUUCAAGUUCUUAAAUCACAGAAAUUUUUUUAUUUGAAAUCUUAAAGUUGCCAAGUUAUUUGCCAUUACCUGCGAUUAUUUGCCAAUAAUUGCCCAUUUAUCUGUAAUGCCAUCUUGCACAUAUGCUGUAUUCUCAUCUAUGACUGACUCCAUUUUUGUUCUGUGGGUUGUGUGUCUCUUCUUCUGCCUCCUGUCUCGUGUCUUCUCUUAGAAGAAAUUACAGUUUAGACUGCAAUUUCAUCGACUUUUAAUAAAUUAAUUUAGGGGAGAAUUGGUUUUUAAUAAUAGUCUUCCUAUUCAAGGACAAGGUAUGUCUGUCUUUUUAUUCAGUAAUUUUAAUUAUUGUUAAUAUUUUCACUUUGUGGCAGGAGUAUCUUCCUUCAGUUUAUUUUCUUACUUGAUAAUUUUUCUGUAUCUGAAAAGUUUUGUGUUGUUUUAGGGGUAAGUGGUCUCCUUCCUCUUUUUCAUGGAGUUUCUUUUUUCAAAUUACAGACUAAAUCCUUUGAAAAUACUGAUAGUUGUGAUUCUCCUCUCCCGGAUUAUCUGGAUUGUGGAAAUAUCACUCACCCUUGAUUUAGUUAGGUUUUAAUGGACCCUUCUUGGUUUGACCAGCAUGUUUCUGGUCUAUUACACAAAAAGACUCUCAGAGACAGCUAUAAGCAAGCAAAGCUGAGUUUAUUAAAACUACAACAGAAAGGGAAAACAGUACUUUGACAAGGUUUAGUAGUAUUUCAAAAGCAGGAAAUUAAGGUUGUGAGGGAUGGGAUGACGGUUUAAGGUAGGAAUUUCAAGGCAGAAAACUGUCUUGUUGUUUGGUCAUUACGUCAUAUCUAACUCUUUUGCAGCCCCACGGCUCCUCUGUUCAUGGGAUUUCCCAGACAAGAAUACUGGAGUGGGUUGCCAUUUCCUUCUCCAGGGGAUCUUUCUGACCCAGGGAUUGAAUCCACAUCUCCCGCAUUGGCAGGUGGUUUUCUUUACCACUGAGUCACCAGGGAAGCAAGGAACUGGUUAGGAGAGGGCAAAAUUCAUCCUGUGAGAGUUUAAACCUGGUGAAAGAGUAAGAUGAAAAUGUUGAUUGAAUUUAGAUAAUCAAAUUUUUGUCUGAUGAAUGAGCUAUUUCCCUAUGUGAAUAAUAUAUUAUCAAUGAUAGAAGAACUGUUUGGGUAGAUGAACAAAUUUGAGUGUAUUUGUUGGUUUACAGUUCUGUCUUGUUUAUAAGACCCUGAUGGGGGUGGUAUCAGGU